rnacentral:lncRNA from 1 species
GAGGGUUAGAAUUGUAUAAUAUAAGGGGACGUUUGGAUACCAGGGGCUAAACUUUAGCCCUGUCACAUCGGAUGUUCGGAUACUAAUUAGGAGGACUAAAUAUAAGCUAAUUAUAAAACUAAUUGCAGAACUCCUAGGCUAAAUCGCGAGACGAAUCUAUUAAGCCUAAUUAAUCCAUCAUUAGUGAAUGGUUACUGUAGCAUCACAUUGUCAAAUCAUGGACUAAUUAGGCUUAAUAGGUUCGUCUUGCGAUUUAGCCUACAGGUUGUGUAAUCAGUUUUGUAAUUAGUCUAGGUUUAAUACUCCUAAUUAGUAUCCAGCAUUCGAUAUGAUAGGACUAAAAUUUAGUCCCCUCCUCCAAACACCCCUUAAGAUAAAUGAAUGGUCUAAGUCUGA